CAUCCACAUGGAUUUACACUGGUUUAACUAUAUUGCUUUAAAAACGGAUUACAUGAAACCUUUGCAACUUUUCCACAUAGACAAGGUCAGAGAAAAAAGUUAGCAUAGAGGUUAAGGCAUUGGUCUGGGACUUGAGAGAGAGAGAACGCUGACAUUCGCUCUGCCACAGAUUUUUGGUGUGACCUUGGGCAAGUCACUUAAUCUUUCUGUGCCUCCGUUCCUCUUCUGUAAAAGGGGGAUAGUAACACUUCCAUUCUCCCACCUGUUUAUUUACAUUGUAAGCUCUUCAGGACCAAACUGUCUCUUUCCAUCUGUUUGUAUAGUGCUUACCAAACAUUUCAUAUUAAGGCCUUUUGGUGCAACUGUAAUACAAAUGAAUAAUAGAUUGUGAUCAUCUGUGUUUUGUGUUGAAUUUUUGACAUUUAAAUUUUAUUUGGCCUGAUUUUCAAAGAUGCUGAGCACUUACGUUUCCUAUUGCAAACCAGGGAAGAUGUGGGUGCUCAGCAUCCCUGCAACAGACUGGUUAUGCUUAAUUAUAUUUUCCCCUCCAACUCUUAAUUGAGAAAAUAAAACACUGGCCAAGCAAACAGUUAUUAUUUUGUGAAACACAGCUCUUUGGAACUCAGAUUCUUUGUAUCAUCAGAUUUAAAGAUGAGAGCUGUCUAUUAGGUGACAUUGAAACAACUGGUUGCUGGAGAGUAGUAAUGCUUUUCUGGUGGAUAUAUAGCAUUUUAGUUUCCUGUGCAGAAUGAGUCAGUUUUAAUAUAGUAAUAAAAAAGGCUAGGGAUAAAGAAAGGUUCAUAUGAAUCUUUUUCCUGUUUUUCAGGUUGUUAUUAAGGAAAACCCUUGUUCUGUCCAUUAGGUGGUGCCCACUAUGCAUUUUUGCAUUUGUGGAGGAAAGAAAGAUUCUAGAGACUUAGAAGCAAACAGAAUCCAUCCUUGUUAACAUUAGGAGAGGAGAAUAAAGCCAUUUCUUUAUUCUUGUCAUAUAGACUGUAAAGGAAGUGGAGUUCAACGAUACUUAACUGACCCAUGUCUCACUCAGGUAACUCAGGAGGUGCUGAUGCAGAUGACUACUUCGAUAGAAGCUCAAAAGAUGGGGACCUGUGUUUUUGGAACCUGACAACUCUCACGUCUUGUACAGUCUUGUAAUCUGCUACCCUAUCAAAACAAUCAGAUUGCUGUUUCCGCAUGGAGCUCAAACAUGAUGCAGAGUGCUGCCCUGGAGAAGGCCAGGCGGCCGAAUUGCCGGCAGAAACGUGCCCCUGAAACACAAAUCAAAUCCUUCAUUAAGAUCACCCAGAUUACGGAGAACCAAAGCGGUAAGCAUCCUCCUGAUUUUCUCCACUGCGCCAGUUCCAGGCAGUCCUCUCUUGGAUGCUGGCCUUUUGUUCUUGAGCACCUUUUGCUGGCUGAUUCACUAAGCUUCAUUGAUGGCAGGGAAUGGCUUCCUCAAGUUAAGAUGUCAAAGCAGUGGCCAGCUAGGGUGGCAGCCUGAAGUGAAGAGGUAACAUAAUGAGAGGUGAAAAAAAUUCUUAAGGAUGAUGCAAAGAUGAGCCACGUUCUGCCCUGGAGUGUGUACGUUCACCUCCUGCAUAAGUUGCUGGGAGAUGUUUGCUUGCAACUGCAGUUGACAAAAAAACCUACCAAACUGUAGCUUAUCUAGUGAAAGUGGCCAUGUAUUCUGUGGAUGGCCUAAAAGCAUUACAGGCACUUACAGUUACAGAGCCGCUGAGAUACUGACAAAAGCAUUUGUCAAAUGAACUACUUGGUGAAAAAAACGGCAAAUGCAUCAAAUAAGGUAUUUGAGCAGCAUUCUACAUGCUAAUCACCUGAGG